rnacentral:misc_RNA from 1 species
CCGGGAAUCAUCUUCCUGAGCACCAUGGUCCUCUUCCUCACCAGCCUCCGCGCGAUCUCCCUGCAGCUACCGAGCGUCGUUCCCGCCGCUGCCGUCGUCCUUGCAAGCGACGAGGACGUGGUACCAGCAAUGCUGCCAUCCCUCCGUCUCCGCGUCCUCGUGUGGUGGAGACACGACCGCCUCACGACCUUCUUCUUGCACACGCCGCGCGUGUUCUUCUUCUUCUUCCCCGGCGACGACGGCGACGGCGUUCUAGCAGACGGCGACGACGACGACGACGAACUUGGAGCCAAGACGGCCUGUGGCCACCGCGCCCCACCGCCGCGGGCAGAAGCCGCCAUGGCGAUGUCGACCGACGCCUUGAUGGCGCGCUUCCUCUGCUGGAGACUCAUCGUGGCGGUGGCGCCGCCCGCGGAGCCAGAGGAUGAGAUAUUG